rnacentral:rRNA from 1 species
UUGAACGCUGGCGGCAUGCCUUACACAUGCAAGUCGAGCGGCAGCGCGGGGGCAACCCUGGCGGCGAGCGGCGAACGGGUGAGUAAUACAUCGGAACGUGUCCAGUAGCGGGGGAUAACCUGUCGAAAGAUAGGCUAAUACCGCAUACGACCUACGGGUGAAAGCGGGGGACCGCAAGGCCUCGCACUAUUGGAGCGGCCGAUGUCGGAUUAGCUAGUUGGCGGGGUAAAAGCCCACCAAGGCGACGAUCCGUAGCUGGUCUGAGAGGACGACCAGCCACACUGGAACUGAGACACGGUCCAGACUCCUACGGGAGGCAGCAGUGGGGAAUUUUGGACAAUGGGCGCAAGCCUGAUCCAGCCAUGCCGCGUGAGUGAAGAAGGCCUUCGGGUUGUAAAGCUCUUUCGGCGGGGACGAAACGGUCCGUGACAACACCACGGACUAAUGACAGUACUCGCAGAAGAAGCACCGGCUAACUACGUGCCAACAGCCGCGGUAAUACGUAGGGUGCAGGCGUUAAUCGGAAUUACUGGGCGUAAAGCGUGCGCAGGCGGCUCCUUAAGUCAGAUGUGAAAUCCCCGGGCUUAACCUGGGAACUGCGUUUGAAACUGGGGGGCUUGAGUGUGGAAGAGGGGGGUGGAAUUCCAGGUGUAGCAGUGAAAUGCAUAGAGAUCUGGAGGAACACCGAUGGCGAAGGCAGCCCCCUGGGCUAACACUGACGCUCAUGCACGAAAGCGUGGGGAGCAAACAGGAUUAGAUACCCUGGUAGUCCACGCCCUAAACGAUGUCAACUGGUUGUCGGGGAAGUUAUUCCUUGGUAACGAAGCUAACGCGUGAAGUUGACCGCCUGGGGAGUACAGCCGCAAGGUUAAAACUCAAAGGAAUUGACGGGGACCCGCACAAGCGGUGGAUUAUGUGGAUUAAUUCGAUGCAACGCGAAAAACCUUACCUACCCUUGACAUGUCAGGAAGCCUGCAGAGAUGCAGGGGUGCCCGAAAGGGAACCUGAACACAGGUGCUGCAUGGCUGUCGUCAGCUCGUGUCGUGAGAUGUUGGGUUAAGUCCCGCAACGAGCGCAACCCUUGUCAUAGUUGCACAUCAGUUCGGCGGCACUCUAAUUGAGACUGCCGGUGACAAAACGGAGGAAGGUGGGGAUGACGUCAAGUCCUCAUGGCCCUUAUGGUCAGGGCUACACACGUACUACAAUGGCGAGUACAGAGGCGCUGCAAACCUGCAAGGGGGAGCCAAUCCAGAAAGCUCGGUCGUCAGUUCGGAUUGGUCUCUGCAACUCGAGCGCCAUGAAGCUGGAAUCGCUAGUAAUCGCAGGAUCAGCAUGUCUGCGGUGAAUACGUUCCCGGGUCUUGUACACACCGCCCGUCACAUCACUGGAAGUGGGUUUCACUAGAAGCUCAGUCGCUAACCCGAGCAAUCGGAGGGCGAUGUUACACGGUGAUGAUCCAUGACUGGGGUG